UAAUAAGUGUUUUAUGGCACUUUUUAAAUCCAUAUCCACCUUGUGUGCAACGUCAGUCGAUCUUCUUCAUGGAGAUCGACCAAACAUCAACCUUUAUUUUUUGACUCUUUGUCUGAAAAAUAUUAUGAAUAAACAAUUCAAAAUA
rnacentral:misc_RNA from 1 species